UUUGCUAGGGGUGCCGAAAGGCUGAGAGUUACCCUUAUUACUUGAACUGGAUAAUACCAGCGUAGGGAAGCAGACUAAU
rnacentral:ncRNA from 1 species